GAGUUUGAUCGUGGCUCAGGACGAACGCUGGCGGCGUGCUUAACACAUGCAAGUCACGGGGGCCCGCAAGGGCAACCGGCGAACGGGUGCGUAACACGUGAGCAAUCUGCCGAUUUCUGGGGGAUAGCCGGCCCAACGGCCGGGUAAUACCGCAUACGCUUCUUUGGGGGAGUCCCCAGGGAAGGAAACCUCCGGGGGAAAUCGAGGAGCUCGCGGCCUAUCAGCUAGUUGGCGGGGUCAAGGCCCACCAAGGCGACGACGGGUAGCUGGUCUGAGAGGAUGGCCAGCCACAUUGGGACUGAGAGACGGCCCAGACUCCUACGGGAGGCAGCAGUGGGGAAUCUUGCGCAAUGGCCGAAAGGCUGACGCAGCGACGCCGCGUGGGGGAUGAAGGUUUUCGGAUCGUAAACCCCUGUUGCCCGGGACGAAACUCCUUUUUCGAGAGGAUUGACGGUACCGGGUGAGGAAGCACCGGCUAACUCCGUGCCAGCCGCCGCCGUAAC
rnacentral:rRNA from 1 species